CAGCAGCCGCGGUAAUACAGAGGGUGCGAGCGUUAAUCGGAUUUACUGGGCGUAAAGCGUGCGUAGGCGGCUUUUUAAGUCGGAUGUGAAAUCCCUGAGCUUAACUUAGGAAUUGCAUUCGAUACUGGGAAGCUAGAGUAUGGGAGAGGAUGGUAGAAUUCCAGGUGUAGCGGUGAAAUGCGUAGAGAUCUGGAGGAAUACCGAUGGCGAAGGCAGCCAUCUGGCCUAAUACUGACGCUGAGGUACGAAAGCAUCGGGAGCAAACAGGAUUAGAUACCCCAGUAGUCCCUGUCUCUUAUAC
rnacentral:rRNA from 1 species